UACGGAGGGGGCUAGCGUUGUUCGGAAUUACUGGGCGUAAAGGGCGCGCAGGCGGCUGCUCAAGUCAGGCGUGAAAGGCCUGGGCUCAACCCGGGAAUUGCGCUUGAGACUGGGCUGGCUUGAGUGCGGGAGAGGAUGGUGGAAUUCCCAGUGUAGAGGUGAAAUUCGUAGAUAUUGGGAAGAACACCGGUGGCGAAGGCGGCCAUCUGGACCGCAACUGACGCUGAGGCGCGAAAGCGUGGGGAGCGAACCGG
rnacentral:rRNA from 1 species